rnacentral:rRNA from 1 species
UACAGAGGGUGCGAGCGUUAAUCGGAAUUACUGGGCGUAAAGCGUGCGCAGGCGGUUUGCUAAGACAGGUGUGAAAUCCCCGGGCUUAACCUGGGAACUGCGCUUGUAACUGGCAAGCUUGAGUGUGGCAGAGGGGGGUGGAAUUCCACGUGUAGCAGUGAAAUGCGUAGAGAUGUGGAGGAACACCGAUGGCGAAGGCAGCCCCCUGGGCUAACACUGACGCUCAUGCACGAAAGCGUGGGGAGCAAACAGG